rnacentral:rRNA from 1 species
UGCCUUACCAUGCAAGUCGAACGGCAGCGCGGGGCAACCUGGCGGCGAGUGGCGAACGGGUGAGUAAUAUAUCGGAACGUACCCUAGAGUGGGGGAUAACGUAGCGAAAGUUACGCUAAUACCGCAUACGAUCUAAGGAUGAAAGUGGGGGAUCGCAAGACCUCAUGCUCGUGGAGCGGCCGAUAUCUGAUUAGCUAGUUGGUGGGGUAAAGGCCUACCAAGGCAACGAUCAGUAGCUGGUCUGAGAGGACGACCAGCCACACUGGAACUGAGACACGGUCCAGACUCCUACGGGAGGCAGCAGUGGGGAAUUUUGGACAAUGGGCGAAAGCCUGAUCCAGCAAUGCCGCGUGUGUGAAGAAGGCCUUCGGGUUGUAAAGCACUUUUGGCGGGAACGAAACGGUAUUGGCUAAUAUCCGAUACUAAUGACGGUACCCGCAGAAUAAGCACCGGCUAACUACGUGCCAGCAGCCGCGGUAAUACGUAGGGUGCAAGCGUUAAUCGGAAUUACUGGGCGUAAAGCGUGCGCAGGCGGUUAUGUAAGUCUGAUGUGAAAUCCCCGGGCUCAACCUGGGAAUUGCAUUGGAGACCGCAUAGCUAGAAUCUGGCAGAGGGGGGUAGAAUUCCACGUGUAGCAGUGAAAUGCGUAGAGAUGUGGAGGAACACCGAUGGCGAAGGCAGCCCCCUGGGCUAAGAUUGACGCUCAUGCACGAAAGCGUGGGGAGCAAACAGGAUUAGAUACCCUGGUAGUCCACGCCCUAAACGAUGUCUACUAGUUGUCGGGACUUAAUUGUCUUGGUAACGCAGCUAACGCGUGAAGUAGACCGCCUGGGGAGUACGGUCGCAAGAUUAAAACUCAAAGGAAUUGACGGGGACCCGCACAAGCGGUGGAUGAUGUGGAUUAAUUCGAUGCAUCGCGAAAAACCUUACUACCCUUGACAUGUCAGAAAUCCCUGAGAGAUUGGGGAGUGCUUGAAAGAGAUCUGAACACAGGUGCUGCAUGGCUGU